rnacentral:rRNA from 1 species
GACGAACGCUGGCGGCGUGCUUAACACAUGCAAGUCGAGCGGUAAGGCCUCUUCGGGGGUACACGAGCGGCGCACGGGUGAGUAACACGUGGGUGACCUGCCCUCAGCUCUGGGAUAAGCCUGGAAAACUGGGUCUAAUACCGGAUAUGACCACAUGUUGCAUGGUGUGUGGUGGAAAGUUUUUUCGGCUGGGGAUGGGCCCGCGGCCUAUCAGCUUGUUGGUGGGGUGAUGGCCUACCAAGGCGACGACGGGUAGCCGGCCUGAGAGGGCGACCGGCCACACUGGGACUGAGACACGGCCCAGACUCCUACGGGAGGCAGCAGUGGGGAAUAUUGCGCAAUGGGCGGAAGCCUGACGCAGCGACGCCGCGUGGGGGAUGACGGCCUUCGGGUUGUAAACCUCUUUCGACCGGGACGAAGCGUAAGUGACGGUACCGGUAGAAGAAGCACCGGCCAACUACGUG